rnacentral:rRNA from 1 species
UACGGGGGGGGCAAGCGUUGUUCGGAAUUACUGGGCGUAAAGGGCUCGUAGGCGGCCAACUAAGUCAGACGUGAAAUCCCCUCGGCUUAACCGGGGAACUGCGUCUGAUACUGGAUGGCUUGAGUUUGGGAGAGGGAUGCGGAAUUCCAGGUGUAGCGGUGAAAUGCGUAGAUAUCUGGAGGAACACCGGUGGCGAAGGCGGCAUCCUGGACCAACACUGACGCUGAGGAGCGAAAGCCAGGGGGAGCAAACGGGG